rnacentral:rRNA from 1 species
UGAGGAAUAUUGCACAAUGGGCGAAAGCCUGAUGCAGCAACGCCGCGUGAGGGACGAGGGCCUUCGGGUCGUAACCUCUUUUCUGGGGGACGAGUAAGGACGGUACUCCAGGAAUAAGUCUCGGCUAACUACGUGCCAGCAGCCGCGGUAAAACGUAGGAGGCGAGCGUUAUCCGGAUUUACUGGGCGUAAAGCGUACGCAGGUGGCUUCGUUAGUCGGACAUGAAAGCUCCUGGCUUAACUGGGAGAGGUUGUUCGAUACUGCGGGGCUUGAGGUUGGGAGAGGGACGUGGAACUCCCGGUGUAGUGGUGGAAUGCGUAGAUAUCGGGAGGAACACCAGUGGCGCAAGCGGCGUCCUGGCCCACACCUGACGCUGAGGUACGAAAGCGUGGGUAGCAAACAG